rnacentral:rRNA from 1 species
GAUGAACGCUAGCUACAGGCUUAACACACGCAAGUCGAGGGGCAGCAUGAACUUAGCUUGCUAAGUUUGAUGGCGACCGGCGCACGGGUGAGUAACACGUAUCCAACCUGCCGAUGACUCGGGGAUAGCCUUUCGAAAGAAAGAUUAAUACCGGAUGGCAUACGAAUAUCGCAUGAUAUUUUUAUUAAAGAAUUUCGGUUAUCGAUGGGGAUGCGUUCCAUUAGUUUGUUGGCGGGUAACGGCCCACCUAGUCUUCGAUGGAUAGGGGUUCUGAGAGGAAGGUCCCCCACAUUGGUACUGAGACACGGACCAGACUCCUACGGGAGGCAGCAGUGAGGAAUAUUGGUCAAUGGGCGAGAGCCUGAACCAGCCAAGUCGCGUGGAGGAAGACGGGCCCUACGGGUUGUAAACUCCUUUUACCNGGGAAUAACGGGCGCUACGCGUAGCGCUGUGCAUGUACCGGGAGAAUAAGCAUCGGCUAAUUCCGUGCCAGCAGCC